rnacentral:rRNA from 1 species
UACGUAGGGUGCGAGCGUUGUCCGGAAUUAUUGGGCGUAAAGAGCUUGUAGGCGGUCUGUCGCGUUUGCUGUGAAAAUCCGGGGCUCAACCCCGGACUUGCAGUGGGUACGGGCAGACUAGAGUGUGGUAGGGGAGACUGGAAUUCCUGGUGUAGCGGUGAAAUGCGCAGAUAUCAGGAGGAACACCGAUGGCGAAGGCAGGUCUCUGGGCCACUACUGACGCUGAGAAGCGAAAGCAUGGGGAGCGAACAGG